GAACUGCGAUAAGUAAUGUGAAUUGCAGAAUUCAGUGAAUCAUCGAGUCUUUGAACGCACAUUGCGCCCCCUGGCAUUCCGGGGGGCAUGCCUGUCCGAGCGUCAUUGCUGCCCUUCAAGCCCGGCUUGUGUGUUGGGUCGUCGUCCCCUCCGGGGGACGUGCCCGAAAGGCAGCGGCGGCACCGCGUCCGGUCCUCGAGCGUAUGGGGCUUUGUCACCCGCUCGAUAAGGACCGGCCGGGCGCCAGCCGGCGUCUCCAACCUUUUUUCUCAGGUUGACCUCGGAUCAGGUAGGGAUACCCGCUGAACUUAAGC
rnacentral:misc_RNA from 1 species